CAUUGUCCACCUGACGCGAGAUCGGUC
rnacentral:piRNA from 1 species